UGAGCCUCCAGUUGGCAUGUGCCAUUGUUUGAACCUAAGUCCUUGGUGUUGGUGAUGUUUGAUGGAGAAUUAAGGUCACAAGGCAACAAAAUGAACUGAAUUCUAAAGAAUGGCAAGCCUCUCUGAGAAGAGACAGGACAGAGGAACUGUUUCACCUUUGGCCAGGACUGGCUGUGUAAUCCAUGGGACACAGUAAAAAUGAAAAUGCAGGAACCUUUUGAA